ACGCUGGCGGCGUGCCUAAUACAUGCAAGUAGAACGCUGAAGAGAGGAGCUUGCUCUUCUUGGAUGAGUUGCGAACGGGUGAGUAACGCGUAGGUAACCUGCCUGGUAGCGGGGGAUAACUAUUGGAAACGAUAGCUAAUACCGCAUAAAAUUGAUUAUCGCAUGAUAAUCAAUUGAAAGGUGCAAAUGCAUCACUACCAGAUGGACCUGCGUUGUAUUAGCUAGUUGGUGGGGUAACGGCUCACCAAGGCGACGAUACAUAGCCGACCUGAGAGGGUGAUCGGCCACACUGGGACUGAGACACGGCCCAGACUCCUACGGGAGGCAGCAGUAGGGAAUCUUCGGCAAUGGACGGAAGUCUGACCGAGCAACGCCGCGUGAGUGAAGAAGGUUUUCGGAUCGUAAAGCUCUGUUGUAAGAGAAGAACGAGUGUGAGAGUGGAAAGUUCACACUGUGACGGUAUCUUACCAGAAAGGGACGGCUAACUACGUGCCAGCAGCCGCGGUAAUACGUAGGUCCCGAGCGUUGUCCGGAUUUAUUGGGCGUAAAGCGAGCGCAGGCGGUUAGAUAAGUCUGAAGUUAAAGGCUGUGGCUUAACCAUAGUACGCUUUGGAAACUGUUUAACUUGAGUGCAAGAGGGGAGAGUGGAAUUCCAUGUGUAGCGGUGAAAUGCGUAGAUAUAUGGAGGAACACCGGUGGCGAAAGCGGCUCUCUGGCUUGUAACUGACGCUGAGGCUCGAAAGCGUGGGGAGCAAACAGGAUUAGAUACCCUGGUAGUCCACGCCGUAAACGAUGAGUGCUAGGUGUUAGACCCUUUCCGGGGUUUAGUGCCGCAGCUAACGCAUUAAGCACUCCGCCUGGGGAGUACGACCGCAAGGUUGAAACUCAAAGGAAUUGACGGGGGCCCGCACAAGCGGUG
rnacentral:rRNA from 1 species